CCUACGGGCGGCAGCAGUGAGGAAUAUUGGUCAAUGGACGAGAGUCUGAACCAGCCAAGUAGCGUGAAGGAUGACUGCCCUAUGGGUUGUAAACUUCUUUUAUAUGGGAAUAAAACGUUCCACGUGUGGGAUUUUGUAUGUACCAUAUGAAUAAGGAUCGGCUAACUCCGUGCCAGCAGCCGCGGUAAUACGGAGGAUCCGAGCGUUAUCCGGAUUUAUUGGGUUUAAAGGGAGCGUAGGUGGAUUGUUAAGUCAGUUGUGAAAGUUUGCUGCUCAACCGUAAAAUUGCAGUUGAAACUGGCAGUCUUGAGUACAGUAGAGGUGGGCGGAAUUCGGGGUGUAGCGGUGAAAUGCUUAGAUAUCACGAAGAACUCCGAUUGCGAAGGCAGUUCACUGGACUGCAACUGACACUGAGGCUCGAAAGUGUGGGUAUCAAACAGGAUUAGAUACCCGAGUAGUC
rnacentral:rRNA from 1 species